rnacentral:rRNA from 1 species
AUGGCGCGCACGCUUGGCUUCAGCAUGUUUCUUCGUCCCAUGUUGAACUUGAGUUGGCGUGAUGGUGCCCCCGCUCGGCUUCAGCAUGUCAGCCAACGGUGCCAUCGGAUCCCUCUGUGUCAUACUCCUAUCGAUGAUGUACGUCUUCUUCAUCAUGAAAAAACGUCCACAUCUCCAAAAUUUACCAAGCUCCCUAAAAAUGGAGCUCUCUUGUGCAUCAUGGGUAGAUUGGAUGAGUGGGUUCCGUUUCGGGAGCUCCUAGGCAGCACUCGCAUGCCAGCUUUCCUAGGUCGGCCCAACUACACGAGCGAUCAGCUGUCGCUCGUCAAGACCAUACACCCGAUCGCUUCUUUCUGGUUCGACCAAAACAACCUUCUUCAUGAGGAAAAAGUGAUGGAUGGGACGCCCAGCUCGCAAGUAAGUACUACUCCAGUUUGCCCUAAAAAAGUUCCAAAGAAAGGAAUACUCGAGCGCCGCCAUGCACGACGACGAGACGACGACAAAGGCGAACAUACCGUACCUGCCGGACGAGCUAGUGUCGGAGAUCCUGCCCCGGCUCCCCGUGGAGUAGCUGCUGCGAUUCAGACCUCGUCUCUUCUCGUCGCGCCGUGGCUCGGGGAGAACGACAACGAUCGCCCUCUUGCUUCUUCAACCGGAGAGAUGACCGUCGCCGGUUUGUAUCAGUGGGAUGGGAAGCAGCAGGGCGUCGGCACGCUCCUACACGCCAUGUCCGACUACCACUCCAAGAAGGCGGCGUUGCACAGGAUGGCACAUUGCGAUGGACUGGUGCUGUUGCCUACUGACAAUACGGCGCACGUAGUUAACCCGGCCACUCGGCGCACCAUCACGCUUCCCCCGACCCUCAACCGCUUCCAAGGCCCUCAGGCAUUCGGUCUUGGCCACGACCCUCGCUCCAAUGCUUACAAAGUUGCUCGCUUCUAUGUUUCUCUGGACAUGCGCACCCAGACAGCUACGGCUAUACUGCUAAGAUGGGGAACCCUUCACUUUCGCAGCACGCUCUUCAACUGCCGCCUUCUCCGGUUAGGUUUCCUCUCCAAAAAGGUCAACAUUGUUGUCAUCCAAUCAGAAGUUAUUUUCUCAUGUUUCUGCAAUCCAAUCUCCGACAAUACAUAG